rnacentral:lncRNA from 1 species
GUGUUGUUGCAUUGCUUUAAAUUUAAUCUGUCAUGGAAUUCACAGGAUUAUAGUGGGUUUUUUUAACCACACCACAGAAAAGUAAAUCUUUAAAGGAUUGAAAACCUAAUCUUACAUAGAUUUUCAUCUCUAAAUACAGUAUAUACAAGAAGUUUAAACAUACCAUUUCCAAGUACUUUCAGCUAUAAAAAUAUGGUAAUUAACUGUAUACUAAUUAUAAAUAUUUAAACGAUUUAAGUAGCAUUUCAUAUGAAAAGCAUAACUGUGCAAUAAAAGAAGAGGAACCCUCUGAGGGAUUAUUUUUAAAGUUAGUUUCUAAGUUAUGUAAAAUAAAAUUCAGAAAGUUCAGUGUGUGAAGUCAAACCCUGAUUUAACAAAAUAAUAAGACAAUAUGUUGAAUCUUAACUGAUAGGGAAAAAUAGUAAAUUACAUAUGGCAUUAUUUUCUAAAAAGAUAGCAAUUCUAUAUCAUAUACAUGAUGCUCUGUAUAUUCAUGUUGGUUUUUAUUUUUGGAAUUUCACUUUAUUAUGCUAUAUCUCUCUCCUAAUCUCAACGAUAAGCAUCGUGGGUUUUUUUUUUUUUUUUCACAUCAAGGGAAAAAACAAUACCAGUUAAGUGAUACUAAAAGUAUACCUUAAGAAUUAUUUUUUUAAAUAAGCUUUGAUAUUUCAGUGCCAAAUAGGAAAAUUGAUAGCAUUCCCAAGUUAGGAAUUAUAGAACAUUUUAAUUUUUUGUUAUAUAAAAAGGAGAGAAAAAUUCACAACUUUAUAAAAAAAGUAAUACUCCUAAACCACUCAGAUACAGUAAGAGACCUUUUGCCUCCACUCAGUCCAAAUUAUUAUUUACUGAAUCAAUUAGAAAUCAAUUCGAGUAGCAGACCUCUAAAAGUAAGGUUAGAUGAUACCAAUCUUUCCAGUAUUAUAUAAGUCUAACUAAGCAAGACAGAUCAGUAAACAGCUUGGUCUAGUGGGAAGAGCUCUGGGACUUGAAGUUGAAAAAUCUGGGUUUGAGUUCAAACUCCCACCUAACUGUGGACAACUGAAACUUGGCGAACUUCAGUUCCCUUACCUGAAAAAUGGGGGUAAUGAUAGUUAUGCUACCUAUUUCAUUGAAUUGUUACUACUUAAAACAAACAACAAGCAGGACUUGUUAUUUAUAAUCAGUGCUCCAGAGAGAAGAGAGCAAAAGAAGAUCUUAGGGAUUACCACAGAGCAUUACUACCUGCUACAGAACUGCAGUUUUUGGGGGAAAGAAUUCUUAUUUUAAGUAGUUUGUUAAUGCCUCGUGCUUGGCACAGUGCCUGGCACAUAGGAAGUGCAUAAUAACUAC